rnacentral:misc_RNA from 1 species
GGCAAUAACAACAUGUUACGUAAUGCGUUGCCGUGCCAACCGCGUGAAGCUACCGCGCAGCUUUUUUCGUUAUAUAACAACUGUAAGGUCUUAUUCUUUUUAACAGAGGCUUUACCUUAUUCAGUAUCCGAUUGUCAAAAUUUACGAUGUCUGAGAAAAAGCACAAAUUGAGUGAAAAGGAUGGACCAGUUAAAAAAGCCAAGCUUGAUGAAACUGUCCAGAAUGAUUCUGAUUUAGUUGAAAAUAUAAAAAAAUCCAGAUUAUCAUGUGCUGCAUCCAUACGAGAUUUUAAAUUUAACAAGAAGCGAGUGAGGGUAUUAACUACUGCUAAAGACAUCCCAGAAGAGGCUAAAUGUAUCGUUUAUUGGAUGUCUCGUGAUCAACGUGUUCA